GAAUUUGAUGAUCAUUAUUGUCGCCCCAGUCUUACAAGCAUCUAUUGGUGCGAUAUGGUGAUUGACUUCUAGAUCUGAUUC
rfam:Macleaya cordata isolate BLH2017 scaffold1707, whole genome shotgun sequence.